UCUGGACUCUGUUCUCCACGGACACCCACCCCAGCCCAGACCUGGGGAUUCACAGAUCUUACUUUGAGAUCUUACCUUCUCUAAGAGCCUUGGCAGUUCUGGCACAGUUCAGAAGAGAGGACAGUGGCUUCCCAGCAGCCUAGCCUGACUCUGCACUUCCUCUCCUGCUGAUGAAUCAGCCUUCAGGAACCCCCAGGCCUUCAAGAGGCUUCUCAGUGAAAGCAAGUCACAGAGCUGACAGCGGGACUAGUGACAGAGAAGGUUUGCCACAUGAGGUGGAGUCUUUCCUGUCCAUGAGUCAAGCAGCUCCAGUACUAGGGAGUCCUGAGAAGCUGGGCACACGGCCAAGAGCCUGAAGACAGAGAGCCAGGAAGGCGAUGGUGUGCCAUGGGGAUGCGACUGGGGGGUGAAAGCAGAGAGUGCUGCUACCUGGAGGGUGCACUGACAUGCCACUGCCCAGAGAUGGCAGAAGGAUGUCAGUGCAAAAAUGUGCAGAAGGCCUGGGUCCCAAGCACCUCACUAGGAUUUUCAGAGAAAUAUCUCAACGUUGCAGAAACUCUACAGCUACAUUGGCUGAGUUUCUCCACAAGGUUAAGCGGUGCUCCAGAAGGCAUUAGGGAACAAGGAAUACUCAUGACUGCAGUUUUCCCAAAGAGAAAAUGCCUCUUGUUGCCUAGCCAAAGUGGAUACUUCAGGAACCCCUGAGGCCACAUCAAAGCACAUAUAUUACGUUCAAGGAAAUGCAACUGUGUCACCUAAAAUGCUCACUAUAGAAGUUUAACUUUUUAUAAUUCUGCUUUUCAAAUUUUUAUAUUUUGAAGAAUUGUUGUAUUUACUGCAUUUUUGUUUCUUUUAAUAAACUAUUGUUUUUCCCUCAUAAUUUUAUUUUUGCCUGAGUGCUGUGGGGAGUUUGCUUAGUAGAUUCUAAUCCCAUGGUACUCCCAAUUCCCUUCAUUUGUGCAAUCAACAUUCUUGAACCAAUAACAUCCCUUACAUGCCACUGGGGCUCGUAUGG